UGUUUCCUCAUUCCCAUACAUUGUCUUUUCCAACAUUCCACUUUUAAGGAGAAUAUACCAGUGAUCUUGCUCUUUGCUAUCUCUGUUUCAAAACAUGUCGAUGUUUUCCUUUAAAAAUGAUACCGCACCAUCUUCAGGCCUCUUUAGCAGUAGCAACCUAUUUGGUUCUACAUCCGGAAUUCAACAGAAUGGGAAUCCUUCUGUGCCAUUUGGAACAACAUCAUCAGCAUCAGCACUUGCUUCUUCUUUUGGAACCUCAACGUAGUAAGCAAGAACAUUACCCACCAUACUGAGAUAUUGCAGUUAUUACUAACAUUUGGAAAAAGAGUAGAGCUCUAUGCCACUUCAUUGCAUAGCUACCUUUCCCAAGGAGCAAUUUUAUUUUUUCAACCAAUUCCACAAACCACCUCACUGCUCUGUCAAAGAAGAUAUGGUAACUCUGCUUUCAUGAAAUCGGCAGUAUUAAGUAUAGCAUCUGUACCAAUCCUCACCUGCGCCAUAGGCGACAGAGAAUAUUAUGUUAUAACAUUUAGUACAUAAACCAUGGAAAAGCAUAGUCAAAGGGUGCCUUUAGUUCAUUCGCAUGCAACAACAUCCAAAUUAAAUAGAAUAAGUGGUCUUUCUUCUGA